rnacentral:lncRNA from 1 species
UAAAACAUUAUUCUUUUAGUAUUUAUAUAUUAAAAAAAAGUAGGUAUAUACAAAAAUUAUAAAAGAAAAAAGUUAAUAAAAAAAUCAAAAUAAAAAUAAAAUAGAAAUAAAAAAUAAAAAUGAAAAUAAGUGAAUAAUAAAAACAAAAAAAAAAUAUAAGACUAAACCAAUCUGAACGAAAUUGGGUGUUGAGAACAAGGAUAGCAGAACAAAAGACAAGGUAAUCAAAAAGUGGCAUAAUAAGCCACAUUCAAAGGGAAAUCCUAAUAUACAGUCUAUGACCC